UAGGGAAUAUUGCAAAAUGGGCGAAAGCCCGAUGCAGCAACGCCGCGUGGGCGAUGAAGGCCUUCGGGUCGUAAAGCCCUUUUUGAGGGGAUGAGGAAGGACAGUACCCUCAGAAUAGGCCUCGGCUAACUACGUGCCAGCAGCCGCGGUAAAACGUAGGAGGCGAGCGUUAUCCGGAUUUACUGGGCGUAAAGCGCGUGCAGGCGGAUUGGAGAGUUGGAUGUGAAAGCUCCCGGCUUAACUGGGAGAGGUCGUUCAAUACUUCCAGUCUUGAGUGCAGUAGAGGGAAGUGGAAUUCCGGGUGUAGUGGUGAAAUGCGUAGAUAUCCGGAGGAACACCAGUGGCGAAAGCGGCUUCCUGAACUGUAACUGACGCUCAGACGCGAAAGCUAGGGUAGCAAACG
rnacentral:rRNA from 1 species